rnacentral:rRNA from 1 species
UACGGGGGGAGCAAGCGUUGUUCGGAUUUACUGGGCGUAAAGGGCGCGUAGGCGGUCAGCACAAGUCAGUUGUGAAAUCUCCGGGCUUAACCCGGAAACUGCCAUUGAUACUAUUUGUCUUGAAUACUGUGGAGGUCAGCGGAAUAUGUCAUGUAGCGGUGAAAUGCUUAGAUAUGACAUAGAACACCAAUUGCGAAGGCAGCUGGCUACACAAAUAUUGACACUGAGGCACGAAAGCGUGGGGAUCAAACAGG